rnacentral:rRNA from 1 species
GAUGAACGCUGGCGGCGUGCCUAAUACAUGCAAGUCGAGCGAACGGACGAGAAGCUUGCUUCUCUGAUGUUAGCGGCGGACGGGUGAGUAACACGUGGAUAACCUACCUAUAAGACUGGGAUAACUUCGGGAAACCGGAGCUAAUACCGGAUAAUAUUUUGAACCGCAUGGUUCAAAAGUGAAAGACGGUCUUGCUGUCACUUAUAGAUGGAUCCGCGCUGCAUUAGCUAGUUGGUAAGGUAACGGCUUACCAAGGCAACGAUGCAUAGCCGACCUGAGAGGGGUAAUCGCCACCAGGGACAUGAGACACGGCCCAGACCCCGAGGGGGGGACGAGGGAGGGAAUCUUCCGCAAGGGGGGAAAGCCUGACGGAGCAACGCCGGGGGAGUGAUGAAGGUCUGCGGAUCGUAAAACUCUGUUAUUAGGGAAGAACAUAUGUGUAAGUAACUGUGCACAUCUGGACGGUACCUAAUCAAAAAGCCACGGCUAAUUACGG